rnacentral:rRNA from 1 species
UACGUAGGUGGCGAGCGUUGUCCGGAUUUACUGGGCGUAAAGCGCGCGCAGGCGGUCCUUUAAGUCUGAUGUGAAAGCCCACGGCUCAACCGUGGAGGGUCAUUGGAAACUGGGGGACUUGAGUACAGAAGAGAAGAGUGGAAUUCCACGUGUAGCGGUGAAAUGCGUAGAGAUGUGGAGGAACACCAGUGGCGAAGGCGACUCUUUGGUCUGUAACUGACGCUGAGGCGCGAAAGCGUGGGGAGCAAACAGG